CCCUCUCGGCCGGCUAUCGGCAAAUUCGACAUCCGCUCCGCCGUCUACAGUCUACAUAAGGAAUCGAGGUAGCCCCAGUCGUCUUCGGCGCUCAAGUUUCGGCCGCCGGCCGCGGUGCCCUCCGCCCCUUCCCAAUCCUGCCCCCAAGCCCCAGUCAGCCAUCGAAACUCCAACCCCCAGGCGGCCAGGCCCAAGCGUCCGGCGGUUGCGGCCCCGCGGCUUGGCGAAGGCGACCGGUGGCUAGGCCCCAGCGACUCAGGGCGGAUCAAGUAAGAUUUGUAGUUUCAAUUAAUUAGGCCUGCAGAUGCACCCCCGAUGCCCGGUUUUGGAUUUCCCACUGCCGAUGCCCGAGAUGAAGGCCGCCACUGCGCUGGGGAGCUGGCUGCUCCCGGCUGCGCCUGCCAUUCGCCCCACACUGGUGAAUCUCAGAUCCCGGGGGUUCUGCAGUCAUGGUUAUUUCCCCUCGGCGUCCCGGAUUUCUUGCUCAUCAGAGUUAUCUGAUAGCGAUAGAGGUCUCGCCAAGGAGAUGGAGUCAGAAUUCAGUGACGAGAUAUGUGCCGAGAAUGGUGCUGAAGAGGACGAUGAAACAGAGGAUUUAAUUUGGAGCAAAGAAGAGAUCGAUGCUAUUUCGGCGCUCUUCGACCGGCCGAUGCGCCAGAAGCCCCUGAAGCCGCGAAACCCCGCGAGGCAGAGGGCGCUUCCAUUGCCACUGCCGCACAAGACGAGGCUGCCCGUGGCUCCUGCGCCGAAGCAGCACGUCCGCCUCGCUGCAAGAGCGGGGCUCUCUUCUCGUGCUUGCUUCAGCGACCAGGUGCGCAAGAAACCGGAGUUCCUUCUCGGGAUUGCCCGGGAGAUCGCAGCGCUUCCUCCCGAGCACGACGUCUCCACGGUGCUCGACCGUUGGGCGAGGUUCCUCCGGAAAGGCUCCCUGUCACUUACCAUUCGUGAGCUCGGGCACAUGGGGCUCCCCGAGCGCGCGCUCCAGACACUGUGCUGGGCCCAGAGGCAGAAAGCUGUGCCGUUGUUCCCUGACGAUCGUGUUCUUGCUUCGGCCAUCGAGGUUUUGGCACGCUUUGAACGGCUCAGAGUGGAGUCUGCGCUGGAGCAAUGUGUGCCCACGGCCAGCCGUGCCGUUCUCGAGGCCAUGGCGAGCGGGUUCAUCAGGGCGGGGAAAGUAGACCGCGUGCGCAAGCUCCUGGAACUUGCAAGGAUCAAUAACAGGACGCUGCACCCCAGCAUCUACGUGAAGUUGAUGUUGGAAGCCACCCGGACACCUGAAGGCUACGGGCUUGCGUCGGCACUGGUUGAUGAGCUUGGCGAGAGGCCGGAGUUGGAGUUGCGUCCACAGGACUGCACGGCUGUCAUGAAGGUCUGCAUAAGGCUCCGACGGUACGCAGCCGUGGAGAGCCUUUUCAGCUGGUUCAGGGGGGCCAUUGGGAGCCCCACCGUGGUGAUGUACACGACGGUGAUCCACAGCCGGUGCCGUGACGGGAGGCACCGAGAGGCACUGUCCCUGGUGUGGGAAAUGGAGCAGGCAGGCUGCCUGCUUGAUCUGCCGGCCUACCGAGUUAUCGUCAAGCUAUGCGUGGCAUUGCACGAUCCGGGGAGGGCUCUCCGCUAUCUGUCAAGGAUGAAGGAGGCUGGUUUUAUUCCAACUGGCGACAUGUACGACAGUCUGAUCGAGGGCUAUUUGGCAGAUGGGAGGCUGGCCAAGUGCCGACAGCUGAUCAGAGAUGCCGAGUCAGCCGGUGUGAAGCUGGAUAGGAGGCUGCUUUCGCGGUUGUCUGAAACUGGAGGCAGACAUCCUUAGUUGACUCUGUGCUAAAGUCGUCAAGUCUGAUACCAGGGGGGGCUGAUCAAUGCUGGACUCGUGUUCAUCCAAGGAUCCUCAGAGGUCAUAAGUGGGGAAGAGAAAGAUUUUGUCCGCGUCGUACUCUAUCGGGCUGGCAUGAUAGCAGGGAGCACACAAGGCUGGCGGCUCAGUCGGCCUGAACAUAUCGGAUCAGCUCGAGUGGAUUUUUACAAGUUUGUCUGAUUCUCCCUUGUUUGUUCUCCACCUCGCUUGACCCUUGCGGCUCGACCCGUGGGGUGCCUUGGGGCAGAGGCCAAUAGUGAUUCGCACAGAAUGACUCCCCUCGUUGACCCGUGGAUCAAAGAAGGCUUGGUGUAAAAGAAUCUAAUCACUUCUUCUCAGUGGUGGCGCUUGGAUCUCUUGGAAUGACUGGAAUAUGUUGCACUAAUGUUUAGGAAUGAAAGCAC